rnacentral:rRNA from 1 species
GAUGAACGCUGGCGGCGUGCCUAAUACAUGCAAGUCGAGCGAACAGAUAAGGAGCUUGCUCCUUUGACGUUAGCGGCGGACGGGUGAGUAACACGUGGGUAACCUACCUAUAAGACUGGGAUAACUUCGGGAAACCGGAGCUAAUACCGGAUAACAUUUGGAACCGCAUGGUUCUAAAGUGAAAGAUGGUUUUGCUAUCACUUAUAGAUGGACCCGCGCCGUAUUAGCUAGUUGGUAAGGUAACGGCUUACCAAGGCGACGAUACGUAGCCGACCUGAGAGGGUGAUCGGCCACACUGGAACUGAGACACGGUCCAGACUCCUACGGGAGGCAGCAGUAGGGAAUCUUCCGCAAUGGGCGAAAUCCUGACGGAGCAACGCCGCGUGAGUGAUGAAGGGUUUCGGCUCGUAAAACUCUGUUAUUAGGGAAGAACAAAUGUGUAAGUAACUGUGCACGUCUUGACGGUACCUAAUCAGAAAGCCACGGCUAACUACGUG